CACGCGAAGUCUGAUCACCGCACGUGCAAGCAUGAGGAGGAACUUAUGGCAUCCGUUUGGCAUCCAUAUAAGUAUGGAAAAAUUUCAAAAAAAUUAUCAAAAAUAGCCUGUCAAAUGUGAAAUGUUAUUACUAAAAAUAGUUCUAUUUUAAAAGUAUUUGAUAAGGAGAAGAACUCUCCAAAUCUCAGAGAGAUGCGAUGCUUCUGCACGCACGCCCGAGACUUCCUUCCUUUCUCCCAUUUUUCGCCACCCC
rnacentral:lncRNA from 1 species